UACAGAGGUCCCAAGCGUUGUUCGGAUUCACUGGGCGUAAAGGGUGCGUAGGUGGUGAGGUAAGUCGGAUGUGAAAUCUCCGGGCUCAACCCGGAAACUGCAUUGGAAACUACCUUGCUUGAGGAUUUGAGGGGGGGAUUGGAAUACUUGGUGUAGCAGUGAAAUGCGUAGAUAUCAAGUGGAACACCAGUGGCGAAGGCGAGUCCCUGGACAACUCCUGACACUGAUGCACGAAAGCUAGGGGAGCAAACAGG
rnacentral:rRNA from 1 species